rnacentral:misc_RNA from 1 species
UUUCCGUAGGUGAACCUGCGGAAGGAUCAUUGUCGAAGCCUGCCCAGCAGAACGACCCGCGAACUUGUAUAAACAACCGGGGGCAGGGGCGAUCUCGCCCCGUGCCCUCGGACGGCAGGGAGACACUCGUGCCUUGUCGAACAACGAACCCCGGCGCGGUCUGCGCCAAGGAACUUCAAUUAAAGAGUGCCUCCGGUCGCCUCGGAAACGAUGCGCGUGUCGGAGGCGAAUCUUGUACAAAACCAUAACGACUCUCGGCAACGGAUAUCUCGGCUCUC